rnacentral:rRNA from 1 species
AUUGAACGCUGGCGGAAUGCUUUACACAUGCAAGUCGAACGGCAGCACGGGGGCAACCCUGGUGGCGAGCGGCGAACGGGUGAGUAACACAUCGGAACAUGCCCAGUCGUGGGGGAUAACACUUCGAAAGAAGUGCUAAUACCGCAUACGUCCUGAGGGAGAAAGCGGGGGAUCGCAAGACCUCGCGCGAUUGGAGUGGCCGAUGUCAGAUUAGCUAGUUGGUGGGGUAAAGGCCUACCAAGGCAACGAUCUGUAGCUGGUCUGAGAGGAUGAUCAGCCACACUGGGACUGAGACACGGCCCAGACUCCUACGGGAGGCAGCAGUGGGGAAUUUUGGACAAUGGGGGCAACCCUGAUCCAGCCAUUCCGCGUGAGUGAAGAAGGCCUUCGGGUUGUAAAGCUCUUUCGGCAGGAACGAAACGGUGAGCUCUAACAUAGCUUGCUAAUGACGGUACCUGAAAAAGAAGCACCGGCUAACUACGUG